rnacentral:rRNA from 1 species
UACGUAGGGGGCGAGCGUUGUCCGGAUUCAUUGGGCGUAAAGAUCUCGUAGGCGGUUUGGCAAGUCGGGUGUGAAAUCUCCGGGCUCAACUCGGAGAGGCCACUCGAUACUGCUAUGACUAGAGUCCGGUAGGGGACUAUGGAAUUCCUGGUGUAGCGGUGAAAUGCGCAGAUAUCAGGAGGAACACCGAUGGCGAAGGCAGCUCACUGGGACGGUACUGACGCUGAGGAGCGAAAGCGUGGGGAGCAAACAGG